rnacentral:tRNA from 2 species
GCGAGAGUGGCGGAAUUGGUAUACGCGCUGGACUUAGGAUCCAGUGGUUUCGGCCGUAGGGGUUCGAGUCCCCUCUCUCGCACCA